rnacentral:rRNA from 1 species
AUUGAACGCUGGCGGCAUGCCUUACACAUGCAAGUCGAACGGUAACGGGCCUUCGGGUGCCGACGAGUGGCGAACGGGCGAGUAAUACAUCGGAACGUGCCCGAUCGUGGGGGAUAACGAGGCGAAAGCUUUGCUAAUACCGCAUACGAUCUACGGAUGAAAGCAGGGGACCGCAAGGCCUUGCGCGGACGGAGCGGCCUAUGGCCGAUUAGGUUGUUGGUGGGAUAAAAGCUUACGAAGCCGACGAUCUGUAGGGGGUCUGGGAGGAUGAUCAGCCACACUGGGACUGAGACACGGACCAGACUCCUACGGGAGGCAGCAGUGGGGAAUUUUGGACAAUGGGCGCAAGCCUGAUCCAGCCAUGCCGAGUGCAGGAUGAAGGCCUUCGGGUUGUAAACUGCGUUUGUACGGAACGAAAAGCCUUCUUUUAAUACAGGAGGGUCAUGACGGUACCGUAAGAAUAAGCACCGGCUAACUACGUG